AUUAAGCGAAUGCGCACAAAAGAACGAAGAGAGAAGAAAUGACGAGUCUGUACUGCUCAAGUUGGAGGAGUUGAAAACAAGGGAUUGCUGCAAUUUGGAGGUUCUUGGGAUAUCUGGCGGUGAAUCUCGCGAUAUUUGUAAAGAUCAGUGGGCCAAAAGUAGAGACUGGUUUUUUUCUAAAACCUCCCAGUGUUAAAGAAGUAUCUCUUGGGAUUCGUUUUUGUGACUACAAUGUAUCUGAGAUACGUCAGCUGUCAAGUUAACUUUGACAGCCACAAACUCUUCAGCAAGCUCAGGUGCUUGAUCUUCACAUUCCUGAGCUAAGCGGUGCAACGCACACGGAAAUUAAGGUUAAUAUAUGUUAUUCCAACAGCCUUCUCUGUUCUGCUGGCUGCUUUCUUGCAAAGAUUUACGUUGAAGGUUAGUUUCUUGCUAGUCUAGAUAUGAUUUUAGCCAAGUUUUCGAGGAUUUGCUCCAUAGAAAAGAUAUCAAUAAGAGUGACUUUGUAAGGAUUUCAUUGUCAAAACUCUUUUAAAUGUCAUCACAGCAUUAGCAUGUGCGAGGAAGCUUGUGUUUUGCCAUUACAACAUGGUACACAGCUGUCUUUAACCA